AUCAAAACAAAAAGCACAGAUGAAUAGUUCCCUUUUCGACUGCGGAUGACUGCACAUCGGUACAUGUGUUUCUGUAUUUAUCGUGCCUCGGUGCCAAGCGGAGUGUGAAUUCCCCGGUUCUCCUGUAGCCAUAGAGUACCAGGACUUGCAGGCAAAUUUGGUCCACAAAACCGACGGCGACGGCCUUUUGAACGCAGGCCGCCUCGAUUGGAAGUGUCCUCUGCUCGCCGUGGAUCACAAAGACCAGGUGCAGAACAGAGAUAGAGGGAGUGCGGAAUUCCCGAAGCUCUUCUUGUCAAGACCACGGGAAUCUCCGACUCCAAGCCUCGAGACUGGAGUCGGUUAGCACAAGCCGCGACGAGUUGUGUGCGUUCAGAAUCAUCCAGGCGGCAAAAAGGCAAACACCACACAGCUGUCAGCAGCUGGUCCAUGAGCUGUGCAACGACAUUCCGGAACUUCCGCCCAAGUGGCAACUCCACGCGCUGAGAAUUGAUUAUUAUUCAUUCAAACAAGGACGGCCCGGGCUUCCGUUACCUCUCGGAAUAAGUGUGCAACCCCGGAGUCAGUAGAGUCAGUAGAGUAGAAAGAUUUACAUUCGAUUUGCCCCUGGUUCGACGACUACGACGACGUCGCGCGACGGAACUCUCUCUCGCCGCUUGCCGUGUCUCGUGUGUCUGCGGUUUCGAAUUCCCAAACGUUCCGUUGUGUCGUCCUUCUCCCCUUAGUUUGGUACCACAAGUUCAGGGUGGUUUUGUGAGUGCGUCUCUGCCUGUGAUUCGAUUAGUAUCAGCUCGUUGAUUAUGGUUCAAAUAAUUUAAUUUCGUUCUCGGGUGGUUCCAGCUGACGGUCAAACAGCCGGGGAGCUCUUCGGAAGUGUGUGUAGUACAUCUCGUCCAUGCGAGACAGAAGAAGAAUCGAAAAAAAUAAAUAGGAGGACAAUUGUGGAGUGUGUCGAACACGUGGGUGCAAUCAACAGAUUCAACUUUUGCGAAUUCAACAAUCGCAGCAGAGUUCAGUGAAGAGUUAGCAGAGUGUUAUUCCAAGUGAUUUGGUGAUCAGUGACCCUGAAAGUCUGAACUGUUAAACCAGUUGGGCGUCGAACCAGAACAACCAGAACCAACUGGCACCGGUCAAAGUCAUCAUCUGUUUCGAGAGAACAAAAUUUGAGAUCUCACUCAACCAUGGGAAAACGAAUCUGAACAAAUCGAGCCCCAGCAAUAACAGGGAGAUUCCACGGCCACGAAGUCCACAGGAAGAGGACGAAAAAAAAGUACGGUGCCAUCAUAGUCGCCAUCGUUGCCGCCGCUGCUUUUGCCGCCGGACCGGAACAUGGGACACUUGAGAAACAAACAGCGCCGGCACCAGCAGAAGGAAGCGGCACUCCGGCGGGAAGAACGACUACGGAAACAGCAGCUCGAUGAGGUGGACAUUAUGAAUUUGGUAAGUGGCCAAAAAAACACCCAGAAACUCUGAAGUGAAGGGCGCGAAGACGAUAGUUGGUUCCUGGUGCUUACUUCUUUGAGGGUUUUUUCCCUGCUCUUAAUUUAAGGACCAGGAUUGCGGCGAAUGAGCAUUAACGAAGGUACUGGAUUUUUGGAGAAGGAAACUUUCAGGGGAAUAAAUUAUUGCUUAAAAUAAUGUGAA